ACUGGCCAUCUGUCAUCCAGCUCUCCAUUCCUUAUGUUUGUCCAGCUCAUUUAGGAACUAUAAAACGUAAUGAAGCAUUUUAGACAAUACUAGAUAAAGAAAACUGGAUGAGCAUGCACUGGAGCAUCCUGUUUACCAAAAGAUUUGAGCUGAACGUGACCUCUAAUCAAAAACUGCAUGUUGGGUGUGAACGGCGGUGGGUGUGGAUUUAUGACACACGCUGUAGACUGUGUAUGUUAAAUAAACAAAUAGUUUUACUGUGGAUAUUUUAAUUAAAAUUUAUGAGAGUAAAAA